CCAGAAGGCCGGGCGGCCGCGGCUCCCGUGAGGGAGUCGAGGAAAGUCCGGGCUCCACGGAACGGCGGUGCCGGGUAACGCCCGGCGAUCCCGGUCACGGCCGGGAUCAGGGACAGUGCCACAGAAAGCAGACCACCGGAUUUCGAUCCGGCCAGGGCGAAAGGGUGGGGCAAGAGCCCACCGCGGACCCGGCAACGGGGACGGCAUGGCAAACCCCACCGGGAGCAAGACCGAAUAGGGGCGGCACACGGGCCACGUUCCGGCUCGUCGCCCGGGUUGGUUGCUAGAGCGGCGGAGCGAUCCGUCGCCCAGAGGAAUGGUCGCCCAGUCCCGCAAGGGACGGACAGAACCCGGCUUACAGGCCUUCUGGCAGA
rnacentral:RNase_P_RNA from 1 species